CCUACGGGUGGCAGCAGUGAGGAAUAUUGGUCAAUGGACGAGAGUCUGAACCAGCCAAGUAGCGUGAAGGAUGACUGCCCUAUGGGUUGUAAACUUCUUUUAUAUGGGAAUAAAAUGUUCCACGUGUGGGAUUUUGUAUGUACCAUCUGAAUAAGGAUCGGCUACCUCCGUGCCAGCAGCCGCGGUAAUCCGGAGGAUCAGAGCGUUAUCCGGAUUUAUUGGGUUUAAAGGGAGCGUAGGUGGAUUGUUAAGUCAGUUGUGAAAGUUUGCGGCUAAACCGUAAAAUUGCAGUUGAAACUGGCAGUCUUGAGUACAGUAGAGGUGGGCGGAAUGCGUGGUGUAGCGGUGAAAUGCUUAGAUAUCACGAAGAACUCCGAUUGCGAAGGCAGUUCACUGGACUGCAACUGACACUGAGGCUCGAAAGUGUGGGUAUCAAACAGGAUUAGAUACCCCAGUAGUC
rnacentral:rRNA from 1 species